rnacentral:rRNA from 1 species
UACAGAGGUCUCAAGCGUUGUUCGGAUUCAUUGGGCGUAAAGGGCGCGUAGGCGGCGGGGUAAGUCGGGUGUGAAAUCUCAGAGCUCAACUCUGAAACUGCACUCGAUACUGCUCUGCUUGAGGACUGGAGAGGAGACUGGAAUUCACGGUGUAGCAGUGAAAUGCGUAGAUAUCGUGAGGAAGACCAGUGGCGAAGGCGGGUCUCUGGACAGUUCCUG